AUGCCUGUGUGCCCUUCUGAGCAGCAACGACUAAAGUUGGGGACACAACUCCCCCGGGGCCGGGGAGGUGAAGGGCCCUCAGGGAGGCAGGGAACUGCCUUCAAGCUGCUGACCCUGCAGCAGGCUGAGCCCCCUCCACCACCCACCCCCUCUGGGGCCGCAGCUGCCACCCAGCACCUGGCCCCUGGGGUGGGGCUUCUGACACGGGCUUCUCACCAUUCACAGGCCGCGAGCCGGAGAGAACCUCUCCUCCUCCGGCGUCUCCACCGCGGGCCAGGGUCCCCACCUCUUCCUCUGGUGUCUCCACGGCAGAGCGAGGUCUCCUCCUCCGGGGUCACCUCCUCCUCCUCCUCCUCCUCCGGCAUCUCCGCUGCGGGCCAGGGGGGGUCUCCUCCUUUGCCGUCACCACCACGGACGGAGGUCUCCUCCUCCUCCGGCGUCUUCACCGCAGGCCGGGUCUCCUCCUCUGGCAUCUCUACCGCUGGCCGGGCUCUCCUCCUCCUCCAGGGUCUCCACCGCGGGCCGGGGUCGUUGCCUCCUCCUCCGGGGUCUCCUCCUCUGGCGUCUCCGCCCGCGGGCCAGGUGGGGGGGACUCUCCACCACGGACUGAGGUCUUCUCCUCCUCCGGCGUCUUCACCGCAGGCCGGGUCUCCUCCUCUGGCAUCUCUACCGCAGGCCGGGGUCUCCUCCUCCUUCUCCUUUGCCGUCUCCACCACGAACCGAGGUCUCCUCCUCCUCCCUCCGGCGUCUUCACCGCAGGCCGGGUCUCCUCCUCCGGCGUCUUCACCGCAGGCCGGGGUCUCCUCCUCCUUCUCCUUUGCCAUCUCCACCACGAACCGAGGUCUCCUCCUCCUCCCUCCGGCGUCUUCACCGCAGGCCGGGGUCUCCUCCUCCUCCUUCAGCGUCUCUACCGCAGGACGGGGUCUCCUCCUCCUUCUCCUUUGCCAUCUCCACCACGAACCGAGGUCUCCUCCUCCUCCCUCCGGCGUCUUCACCGCAGGCCGGGGUCUCCUCCUCCUCCGGCGUCUCCACCGCAGGCCGGGGUCUCCUCCUCCUCCAGCAUCUCUACCGAGGGCUGGGGUCUCCUCCUCCUCCUCCAGCGUCUCUACCACGGGCCGGGGUCUCCUCCUCCUCCUUCAGCGUCGCUACCGAGGGCUGGGGUCUCCUCCUCCUCCAGCGUCUCUACCGCGGGCCGGGGUCUCCUCCUCCGGGGUCUCCACCGCGGACCGAGGUCUCCGCCUCCUCGGGGGUCUCCACCGCGGACCGAGGUCUCCUCCUCCUCCGGCGCCUCCACCGCAGGCCGGGUCUCCUCCUCCGGCGUCUUCACCGCUGGCUGGGGUCUCCUCCUCCUCCUUCAGCGUCGCUACCGAGGGCUGGGGUCUCCUCCUCCUCCAGCGUCUCUACUGCGGGCUGGGGUCUCCUCCUCCAGCGUCUCUACCAUGGGCUGGGGUCUCCUCCUCCUCCUUCAGCGUCGCUACCGAGGGCUGGGGUCUCCUCCUCCUCCAGCGUCUCUACCGCAGGCCGGGGUCUCCUCCUCCUUCUCCUUUGCCGUCUCCACCAUGGACUGAGGUCUCCUCCUCCUCCGGUGUCUUCACCGCAGGCCGGGUCUCCUCCUCUGGCGUCUCUACCGCAGGCCGGGCUCUCCUCCUCCUCCUUCAGCGUCGCUACCGAGGGCUGGGGUCUCCUCCUCCUCCUUCAGCGUCGCUACCGAGGGCUGGGGUCUCCUCCUCCUCCAGCGUCUCUACCGCAGGCCGGGGUCUCCUCCUCCUCCGGCGUCUCCACCGCAGGCAGGGCCUCCUCCUCCUCCGGCGUCUCCACCGCAGGCCGGGUCUCCCCCUCCCCCGGCGUCUCCACCGCAGGCCGGGUCUCCUCCUCUGGCGUCUCUACCGCUGGCCGGGCUCUCCUCCUCCUCCUCCAGCGUCUCUACCAUGGGCUGGGGUCUCCUCCUCCUCCUCCAGCGUCUCUACCACGGGCCGGGGUCUCCUCCUCCUCCUCCAGCGUCUCUACCGCAGGCCGGGGUCUCCUCCUCCUCCUCCAGCGUCUCUACUGCGGGCUGGGGUCUCCUCCUCCGGGGUCUCCACCACGGACUAG
rnacentral:lncRNA from 1 species